UACAGAGGUCUCAAGCGUUGUUCGGAUUCAUUGGGCGUAAAGGGUGCGUAGGUGGCGCCGUAAGUCAGGUGUGAAAUCCCGGGGCUCAACCCCCGGAACUGCACUUGAUACUGCGGUGCUCGAGUACUGGAGAGGAGAUUGGAAUUUACGGUGUAGCAGUGAAAUGCGUAGAUAUCGUAAGGAAGACCAGUGGCGAAGGCGAAUCUCUGGACAGUUACUGACACUGAGGCAC
rnacentral:rRNA from 1 species